rnacentral:misc_RNA from 1 species
AAGUCGUAACAAGGUUUCCGUAGGUGAACCUGGCAGGAAGGAUCAUUACCGAGUUCUCCUGCUCUGCAGGAACUCCCACCCUUGAUUACUAUAGACGUUGCUUCGGCGAGACGUCUGGAAACAGCCUAUUGACCGUCUCACGUCGAUGCGUGCUCGCCGGAGUUUCAUACUCUACAUUAUGUGUCGUCUAGAGAAUCAAAAAUCUAAAAAA